UGGGGAAUUUUGGACAAUGGGCGAAAGCCUGAUCCAGCAAUGCCGCGUGUGUGAAGAAGGCCUUCGGGUUGUAAAGCACUUUUGUCCGGAAAGAAAUCCUUGGCUCUAAUACAGUCGGGGGAUGACGGUACCGGAAGAAUAAACACCGGCUAACUACGUGCCAGCAGCCGCGGUAAUACGUAGGGUGCAAGCGUUAAUCGGAAUUACUGGGCGUAAAGCGUGCGCAGGCGGUUUGCUAAGACCGAUGUGAAAUCCCCGGGCUCAACCUGGGAACUGCAUUGGUGACUGGCAGGCUAGAGUAUGGCAGAGGGGGGUAGAAUUCCACGUGUAGCAGUGAAAUGCGUAGAGAUGUGGAGGAAUACCGAUGGCGAAGGCAGCCCCCUGGGCCAAAUACUGACGCUCAUGCACGAAAGCGUGGGGAGCAAACAGGAUUAGAUACCCUGGUAGUCCACGCCCUAAACGAUGUCAACUAGUUGUUGGGGAUUCAUUUCCUUAGUAACGUAGCUAACGCGUGAAGUUGACCGCCUGGGGAGUACGGUCGCAAGAUUAAAACUUAAAUGAAUUGACGGGGUCAUAGCUGUUUCCU
rnacentral:rRNA from 1 species